rnacentral:tRNA from 1 species
AAAAAGAUAAGCUAAUUAAGCUACUGGGUUCAUACCCCAUUUAUGAGAGUUUUAAUCCCUCUCUUUUUA